UAUUUGUUAUUUUUACAGACAGCAAGUUUCUUGAUCUGAUACCACAAUCGGGUUGUGUUUUUACGCGACACAUUGUACAUUGUUAUAUCUCACGUAAUUUCUAUUACGAGAGCAUCAUUCGAACGUUGGAUUAGGACAGUGAAAAACCGGUGCAUUUAAAAGAAAAACAGCACUCCUUGAUCAUUUGAUCUGAAUGAGUAUAUCUCGACGAUAUUAUUUUUUAUAUCAUGACGUAGUAUUGUCACAGACAUUGGAAAUUAUUCCAUCGAUUUUUAUUGCAUGAAAAUAUCCCAUAUAUACACAGGAUAAAGUAUUUAUACAGGAA